AUUGAACGCUGGCGGCAGGCCUAACACAUGCAAGUCGAACGGGUGGGGGAAGGGUGAGCAAUGUAUGGGCAAGUGCCUGAGGGAGGGCGACAACUACGGGAAACGGUAGCUAAUACCGUAUAACAUCCGAUGUGCCGAGAUGGGAUUAGCUUGUUGGAGGGGUAAAGGCUCACAAAGGCGACGAGCCAUAACUGGUCUGAGAGGAGGACCAGCCACACUGGAACUGAGACACGGUCCAGACUCCUACGGGAGGCAGCAGUGGGGAAUAUUGCACAAUGGGCGCAAGCCGGAUGCAGCCAUGCCGCGUGUAUGAAGAAGGCCUUCGGGUUGUAAAGUACUUUCAGCGGGGAGGCGUUACCCGCAGAAGAAGCACCGGCUAACUCCGUGCCAGCAGCCGCGGUAAUUC
rnacentral:rRNA from 1 species